rfam:Danio rerio chromosome 4, GRCz11 reference primary assembly.
GCAUUGGUGAUUUAGUGGUAGAAUUCUCGCCUGCCACGCGGGAGACCCUGGUCCGAUUUCCGGCCAAGGCA